AGUGAACGCUGGCGGCAGGCCUAACACAUGCAAGUCGAGCGGAAGAAGGGAGCUUGCUCCUGGAUUCAGCGGCGGACGGGUGAGUAAUGCCUAGGAAUCUGCCUGGUUGUGGGGGAUAACGUCCGGACACGGGCGCUAAUACCGCAUACGUCCUGAGGGAGAAAGGGGGGGAUCUUCGGACCUCACGCUAUCAGAUGAGCCUAGGUCGGAUUAGCUAGUUGGUGGGGUAAAGGCCUACCAAGGCGACGAUCCGUAACUGGUCUGAGAGGAUGAUCAGUCACACUGGAACUGAGACACGGUCCAGACUCCUACGGGAGGCAGCAGUGGGGAAUAUUGGACAAUGGGCGAAAGCCUGAUCCAGCCAUGCCGCGUGUGUGAAGAAGGUCUUCGGAUUGUAAAGCCCUUUAAGUUGGGAGGAAGGGCAGUAAGUUAAUACCUUGCUGUUUUGACGUUACCAAAAGAAUAAGCACCGGCUAACUUCGUG
rnacentral:rRNA from 1 species